rnacentral:sRNA from 1 species
CUGACUCCCAGAGACAAAGACAGAGCAUGUGACCAGGGCAGCCAAUCCGCUGGCGCCAGGGGCGUGGGACAAACCGUUGGGGACCAAGGGGAGGCAGAGAAAAGACAUGUAAUAGCGAGAGCUAGAACCAAUGUUUUUGGCUGACGUUAAAAAACACUAUCUGCAAUGUCUGAGGAGGACAGACAGACGGAAGGCUAAGGACAACAGACAGUUCCAAGCGGUGGAUGCUAGCUCAGGCACAUAGAGCACUGCCCUCCGAGGGACAUACUUGUGAUUGGACAAGGAGCUGUACCCAGGCCUGCAGACACUGGCCACGAGGGAUGCCUUUCUGCAAGGGAAGUGACUAGGAUUAGUCCAAAAUGGAAUUCUGUAUUUAUAAAUUUGUGACCAAACUCUGCUCUUAGCUAUUCAGUCCUUUUGGCUUUUUAAAAGUUUUUUAAAAUGUUUAAAUUAUGUGUAUGUGGUGAAUGGAAGGGUACACGUGUAGUCUUUGGGGUUCCUUGAAGCUGAAGCUACAGGUGGUUGUACACCACCAUGGUUGAUGCCUUCUGCACUCAGGAGCUGAGCCAUCUCUCUCACUCUAUGUUGGCCUUUUUGGUUGUAACACGGUGUCUCACCAUAUAGCCCACAUUGUACUGGAACUCACAACACAGACCAGGUUGGCUUUGAACUCACAGAGAUCUGCCUGCCUCUGCCUCCAAAGUACUGAGAUGAAAGGCGUGGGCUACUACAGCCACCU